UACGUAGGGGGCGAGCGUUGUCCGGAUUUAUUGGGCGUAAAGAGCUCGUAGGUGGUUUGGUAAGUCGGAUGUGAAAUCUCCAGGCUCAACCUGGAGGGGUCAUUCGAUACUGCCAUGACUAGAGUUCGGUAGGGGAGUGUGGAAUUCCUGGUGGAGCGGUGAAAUGCGCAGAUAUCAGGAGGAACACCCGUAGCGAAGGCGGCACUCUGGGCCGAUACUGACACUGAGGAGCGAAAGCGUGGGUAGCAAACGGG
rnacentral:rRNA from 1 species